rnacentral:lncRNA from 1 species
UUAAGAGAAGAAAGAGAAAUUUUAUUAUCAUCUUUGCUACACAUUUCAAAUAAAAUAAUGCAUAACUGGCCAUGGUCAUUGAAAAAAUAAGGAAGAAUUUCUAUUUUGUUUGAACAAGGUAGAUAGUGGUUUAGACAGUGAACAAAAGUCUAAGACUAAAAAACCUUGGAUAAAGAAAGGAUCCUACAGAGAGUUCCCAUCAUGGCCCAGUGGAAACAAAUCCGACUAGGAACUAUGAUGUUGCAGGUUCGAUCCCUGGCCUUGCUCAGUGGGUUAAGGAUCUGGCAUUGCUGUGAGCUGUGGUGUAGGUCACAGAUACUGGAUCCCAUGUUGCUUUGGUUGUGGGGUAGGCUGGCAGAUUCAGCUCUGAUUCAACCCCUAGUCCAGGAACUUCCCUAUGUCAUAUGUGUGGCCCUAGAAAGAGAGAAAAAGAAGAAGAACUUUGCCCAGAAAAUGUAGCCUUGGCAACUGGCCUAAUGGUAGAGUUUCUCUAAGCAGUCCUGGCCUGCCUGCCCAAAGCAAGGAUAUUUCCAUGCUCUUUCCCCUGGACAAUCUCUAAUUCACUGACUAUGAGAAAAUAUGAGAUCAGUCAUAAAGACACACUUAAAAUCCCCUUAGGGAAAAUAAAGGAAGGAAAUCUGGAAUUCUGCACUGAGAAGUAAGACCAUCUCUCUAUAGCUACACUGUAUCCAGGGCUUGUCUCACUGCAGCUAUCAUAGUGGCAAAUUGCUAUGCUCAAUGUGUGGCACUCAGCAGAUGCUCAAAAAGUACUUGAUGUCUGCACAUAUCCGCAGUAAAUAGAAGUUAUUCCUGAUGGUCCCUCAUGACAUGCCCACCUGAUAUUUCCUCUGGUCACUGUCCAAAUUUAUCAUGUUAUCUAUAAGCCUCUACAAUAUAAAAAUGAGCAGGACAUAAGAUCAUAGGAUGUGAAAGAGGAAACAAAUCCAAUGGAAAUCUUGAAACUAGGGUAAUAUGAGAAGGAGGCUUCCUUGGCAGGAAUGUAGCCCGCAAUUCUUCCAUAUUAGAACCCUGGAAGCUAUUCAGUUACCAUCACCCACUGCUUCAGGUGAUCAAGGCAGGGAGAAAGUCUUUGUUGGAGAAAAUCAAGAUGACUUGCAGCUACCUAAAAGGAGCUCUCCAGUUUGCAUGUGUUCACUAAUCUGAGAGCCCUCUGAACCAUAUAAUUUUGGCAUUUUUAUAGAUGCUUCAUCAUGUAGGCAUAAUCAGUUAUUAACUACAUUUCUAGCCACUCUCCUCUAUCUGGAGGAUGGGGGUGGAGUUGAAAAUUCCAAGCUUCUAAUCAUGGCCUAGACUUUCAGGUGAUCAGCCAAUAUCCAGAAGUCAUCCAGAGUUGCCUCAAUAAGAGAAAAGACACCACUGUCAUCCAGGAAAUUCCAAAGUAUUCAGGAGUUCUGUGCUAGGAAUGGGGUCAAAGACAAAUACUACCACAAAGAUAGUUCCUAGCAUUCUUAUCAUUUAGGAAAUCACAGGGAUUUCAGGAUCACUGUGCCAGAACUGGGAGGCAAGAAAAAUCCAUAUUUUCUAUUAGUUCACAACUCUGGAACCCAUCUGAACCCCAGUCCCGUCCCCCCCCACCCCAGAGCCUAACAUUCUCUUUGGGAAGGAAAUAAUCAGAAUACAGCCUACAAAGGGUUUUGACACAACUCAAUAAGAAAGAACACAUAAGUUACUUCAUUAACAUAUAGUGCACAAUAUGAUAUAAAUUCUUCUUCAUAUCAAUCCUUCAAAAUCUCUCCUCUUUCCUUCCUGCCCACACUCAGAGGAAAACUAGUAAAGACAUAAUAUGCGGUGCUCCAGGGGUCAGAAGACAGUGCUUACCAAUCCAAUCACUCCAUCCAGACAGAUGUGCAAUAGGCAGCAAAUGACAGGGGGAAGUUAUCAAUCAACUUCAGGAAAGGGAUGGGCUCACACAAUAAGAAGGAACAUCACAGAAAUGCAAAGAAUGGGGGGUUACUAUUAAUAAUUUUAUGUCAAUAAUAUGGGUAAAAUGAAAGAAAUUAAUAAUUUCCCAGAAAUGUACAAUCUCACAAGACUGUAUCAGGGAAAAUAGAAAAUAUGAACAGAUUGAAACUGAAUCAGUAAUUAAAAAAAAAACCCUCCCAACAAACAAAAGUCCAGAACCAAACAUUUAAAGAAAAGUUAACAGCCAUCCUUUUUUCAAAAUAGUCCAAAAAACUUAACAAAAAGGAAUGCUUCUGAAGUCAUUUCAGGAGGCCAUCAUUACCUGAAUAACAAAAACCAAAGAAAGAGUGGAAGGAAGGAAGGAGGGAAGGAAGGAAGGAAGGAAGGAAGGAAGGAAAGAAGGAAGGAAGGAAGGAAGGAAGGAGGAAAGGGAAAGAAAGAGAGAGAAAAUUAUAGGCUAAUAUGACUGAUGAACAUACAUGCAAAAACUCUCAACAACAUAUUGGCAAACUGAAUUCGACAAUAUAUGAAAAGAAUUAUACACAAUGAUCAAUUGAGAUUUAUCCCAGAAAUGCAAGGAUGAUUCAUUUCUGGGAUAAUCAAAUCAAUCAUAUGAUACAUACAUUAUCAAAUUGAAGAGUAAAAAUCAUGUGCUCAGAAAAACUUUUGACAAAAUUCAACAUUUAUGAUUUUAAAAAUUCUCAAAAAGAUGGUAUAGAGGGAACAUACUUUAUCAUAAUAAAGGCCAUAUAUUACAAACCUAAGCCAAUAUCAUACUCAAUAGGGAAAAGCUAAAAGCAUUUCCUCUAAGGUAAGAAAUAAGACAAAGAUGCCCACGAUCAUUGCUUUCAUCCAACAUCAUAUUGGAAGUGCUAGCCACAGCAACUAGACAACAAAAAGAAAUAUAAGAAAUCCAAAUUGGAAAGGAAAAUGCAAAACUGUCAGUAUUUUCAGACAACAUGAUAUUGUAUAUAAAAAAGCCUACAGAAAACUGGUACAGCCACUAUGGAGAACAGUUUGGAGAUACCUUAGAAAUCUAUACAUAGAACUUCCAUAUGACCCAGAAAUCCCACUCUUGGGCAUAUAUCCAGACAAAACUCUACUUAAAAGAGACACGUGCACCCGCAUGUUCAUUGCAGCACUAUUCACAAUAGCCAGGACAUGGAAACAACCCAAAUGUCCAUCGACAGAUGAUUGGAUUCGGAAGAUGUGGUAUAUAUACACAAUGGAAUACUACUCAGCCAUAAAAAAGAAUGACAUAAUGCCAUUUGCAGCAACAUGGAUGGAACUAGAGAAUCUCAUCCUGAGUGAAAUGAGCCAGAAAGACAAAGACAAAUACCAUAUGAUAUCACUUAUAACUGGAAUCUAAUAUCCAGCACAAAUGAACAUCUCCUCAGAAAAGAAAAUCAUGGACUUGGAGAAGAGACUUGUGGCUGCCUGAUGGGAGGGGGAGGGAGUGGGAGGGAUCGGGAGCUUGGGCUUAUCAGACACAACUUAGAAUAGAUUUACAAGGAGAUCCUGCUGAAUAGCAUUGAGAACUAUGUCUAGAUACUCAUGUUGCAACAGAAGAAAGGGUGGGGGAAAAACUGUAAUUGUAAUGUAUACAUGUAAGGAUAACCUGACCCCCUUGCUGUACAGUGGGAAAAAUAAAAUAAAAUAAAAUAAAU